AUGCAAGAACGAGCGACCGUCAAGCAGGACCACGGCGAGUUAUUAAAAUCGAGAAUCGAGGUGUGCGAGGAGACACCUUGAGACUUGAGAACGGAAAAGAAGGCCCGUUGCAAAAAUGCCGUGCAUUCGGCGGGGUAUUGAUAGCACGUGUUGCAGACGACACGAUGGUCACGUUUUCUCGGACUUCUGAUUCGUUUCGGGCACAAUGGCCCGAGUGGGCGCGAACAGCGACGAAGAGGAUAAGGGUCGUGAGAAAGAGAGAGGGGAAGUAAGACAGAGCGAGAGAGGGCGAGCGAGAGCGAAGGAGCGAAAAGGAGAGAGAGAGAGAGAGGGAGAGUUGCUGAAGAGCAUCGUUUACAUGGCGCUACGUGCUCCAAUGAGUGCAUCACGUCCGAGGUCUCGAGGACAACGUGACGACGCUCGCCACCUUCUUCCGCCGCGCUCCCGUGAUAGGUGCACCAGGUACUCGGCGAGAUGACAACGGCGCGAAACGUAUGCGCACGUCAGUAAAUUGUCCCCGACGUGCGAAACCGGUUCCAGCCGUUCGAGUCGUUACACUUCAAAGGCUAAUGCUGAACAGGUGAAAGUGAAGUAAUAUCGACGAAAGGGACACGCGAGCGAGUGAGCGAGCGAGCGAGCGAGCGAGCGAGCGAGCUGCCGAGCGACUGGAACUGGCACUCGCGCGUCUUCUUCUGCUGCAAGCUCGCCCCGGGAACAUGACCGUGGAGACGCGUUCGUCCUGAGCCGCCUCGUUGGCUCGCUGACAGUCAGCUAACCUAAGUCGGACGAUAUCGUCGUGUCGAGCACGACGGCAAGGCGUGACGGUGACACCGCGAUUCUCUUCGCACCAUGGCUACGGUCGACAAGCUGGAAAAUGUCUGCAGACUUUGCCUGGAGAAAAAGAACGAGAUGAUGCCGAUCUUUGGCAACGAGAGCAUGCAGCGCAAGGUGCCUCACAAGCUGCGCGGCUGCCUGCCAGUGUUGGUGUAUCAAACCGACCCGUUGCCCAAGCAGAUUUGCCAGUUCUGCGCGGCCAGGUUGGACGACGCUUACGAGUUCCGGGAGCACUGCCUGGACGUCUUCAAGAAGAUGUUCAACAUGCUACUGAAGUCCCAGCAGACUGAGUCGGUGCGGAUAUUUUUGGACGCUAUGACCAACUCGCAAGACCCAUGCCAGGCGCAACUGUGCAAGAAAUCCAGAGCGCCACCACCUUUGGUCCCUUUGCCAAAUUCACUGCCACUUGACAACUCAUUAGCUCCGAUCAAUCAGAUCAAUCAAGACCAGCUGCAAAACACUUGCAUAGAGAGCCUGCCUGAAUUACCAUGCGAAGUGGAGAUAAAGGAGAUGACCACGGACACAAACUUGAACGACCAAAUUACCGCUUGUGAGUCACCGGUUAGAAGGCCCAAAUGGUUGGAGUCUUACAACACGAGUUUACGAACAGUGACAAAUACAGUUCCUACAUUUGAUACGGGAGAUGAGCAGGCAUUCUCUAAAGCAGAAUACCAAGCGAGGAAGGAAGAGAAGCGUACGAGCAUCUUGGAGCAGGCAUUGACCGGCAAUAUCACGUUGAACAAUCUGGCAAAGAACAGUUUAACGGUGGACCACCGACAGAGGCUGCAGACCAAGGCAAAGCUAACUUCCGAAUGGUGGUGCGUGCCGUGCAACACAUACUUCAAAUCGAGAGACAGUCUGGUGAAGCACAUGCAGGUGUUUUGCCCGCGCGACUUUACUUGCAAAAGAUGCUACGUAUCCUUCGAGUCCGUGGAACUCUUGGCGAAACACGAAGCUGAUUAUCAUUUGGUAGUGAGGUUGGGCUCAGUCGAGAACUUAAACGACUGCGACCAGUGCGACCGGCAAUUUCUAAGCUGGAACAUGUUGAAACAGCACAGAUUGUGUCACCAUUUGGCCGAAUUGACCGAAUUUCUCGACAGAAACACACGGUGUUCAUUGUGCAAUAGGUGUUUCCCUACUGUACGAGCUUACCAAAACCACAUGCAGUUGCAUCGAAUGAACGACAGUUCGUUGUUACCACAAAGACCGUUUUCAGCAGAGCCUACAUUUCCGAUGGUGAGAGUGGAACGAAUGGGAGAAGUUAAAAGGAUAGAUCCAUUCUACGAAAACUCAAAGUCCCUCAAGUGUCCCACAUGCGGAAAGGUUUGCACAGCGCAGAGCGCAUUGUCGAACCACAUGCGUACUCACAAGCCGAAGAAGUACAAGUGUAACUUUUGCGGCCGACUGUUCGGCCUGCUCAUACGGUUAGCGGCGCACAAAAUGUCACACGACAAGCAAGCAGAGGUGUCGCCAGUAAUGUCGGCGGUCGAGCAAGAGGAGGCAUUGAAUGCUGAGAGAGAGGCGAGGGAAGCGGCGAGAGAAGCCAGAACUCGUGUCAACAAAAGAUCGUAUUCCGAGAUGAUGGAGAAGCACGACGCGUCGCCGGAGGAUGAGCCUGCUGAGUUUAAAAAAAUAGCAAAAUGCGGCAUCUGUUCGCAGUGGUUCGGCGACCAUACGACGAUGCUGGCGCAUCUCCAGACGCACUCGGACAAUUACAACUGCAAGAACUUCACGUGUCACGUGUGUAAGAAGUCGUUCAAGGAACAAUGGCAGCUGGUCAGGCACGAAGCGAGUCAUAAGCGCGCCGAUAAGGCCGCAUACACGUGCAACAGCUGCAAGAAGUCCUUCGUGGAUAAGUCUCUGUACAAGGCGCAUCAAAAGACACACAUGGUGGAUAAGACCUAUCACUGCGCCAAGUGUAACAAGAUCUUCUUCAAAGAAGUGUCGCUGCUCGCUCAUCAGUGCACAGGCGGCGCGUUGUCGGAUAAGAGGCCCGCUGCGGAACCCGCGCAAAGAACGUCGACUCACGACAGCAAUAAGAGACACAAGCGGGACCCGGCAUCGUUACCGUCACGAAACUCCCACAUGAGAAUGUACAACAACGACACUUAUGGCAACAUGACACAACAACGUGAGAUCAAAGUCGAGGCGGACGACGAGUCGAUGCCAAAAUUAAGCCCGGAGAUCUUGGAGUACAGCGUACCUAUCAUCGAGCCCAGAAUCGAAAUCAACGAGCAGAGCGCACCCCCGCCUUUCAAACGGACUCUCAUCAAGACAACUAACGGGUAUCGAUGUGGCGUGUGCAAGUCGCCGUUCGUGUCGAGGGAGCUAGCCGUGGCUCACUUGAGGUCAGCUCAUCCAAUAAUGCCGUAUCAAUGUCCUUACUGUAAAAAACGAUUCACCACGCAGUAUAUGUUCACCCACCACAUCAAGACGGAGCAUCCCGAGGAGCCCGAGAAAUGAAGACCGCUCGUGACUCUUCGACUAACAUGGACCCGAUCGAAGUUGUAUCACAAUAUGUGCCUCGUACUAUCUACACGAGAGAGUUCGUCUCUCAUAGUAUAUGUGUACAGAGUGUUCAUCGAAGGGCUUCUCAAGCUCGAACCGUUUGAGUCGCGAUGGACACUCUGUAUAUAAAGUGCGUCGAACUUUGGCCCGAAGGCUCAGACCGACGUGCCGUUUUUGUUCAUAAGUAUUGAACGGAAGAGUCCUUUAGUAUGUAACCGCGAGCGCGUAACGUUGAGAUGUUUGUUGAAUGCGAGGCUAUUGAUACUAGUACUUACGCUGAUGAACGUGCCUGUAUAAGUGCUUUGUUUUACAGUGUUAUUAUAGUCCGACGGCGCAGCUAACCGCGCGCAGGAGGAGAGAGAGAGAGAGAGAGAGAGAAGGGGAGAAGGUGUUUCUAGAACGACGGUAAGGAGAAUCUUAAGCGUGUUGAUUAGGGGAAAAGAAUUUAGUUAGUUACACGAACGUUCGGACGGCCAACAGGGAACUUUAGUUACGCAAUUUGUAUUAUGUACGGUCUGUAGCGAUGAAAAUGACAUUGUGGUCGACCGGUUGCAGUGACGUGAGAAUACGGAGAGUCCUCCGCGCGACACACACAUCGCGAGUUCGUUGACACGUUGUGUUUUAAUACCGUUGUGAGUUAUCUUGCGUUUUAGAGAGAGAUAAACGGAGAAGGUGUCGAGAAUCCUCAAUCGCCUUAAAUUGCGUUAGAACACAUUCCCGCAAUCCCGCAAUCCCGCAAUCCGUGACUUCGACGUCACGAUCUCUCAGCGAUCGUCGCGCGACUCGAAUGCUGAGUUCUCAAGAAGAAUACCGAAGAUCAUCGUUUGUCGCGGUCACGAGUAAGCAGACGUCUUCUCAGCCGACAGCGAUGCCACGUAAUUUAAUUGUACACUUUGUCUCCCCCGGCUGCUUCGCCAGCGCGGGGAUGUGCAUUCCGGAAGCAGGCGAAGGAGGGAGGAGUAGCGUGUGUGCACCACCAUCGACGAUUGCACCGGCGCAG